UGGGGAAUUUUGGACAAUGGGCGAAAGCCUGAUCCAGCAAUGCCGCGUGUGUGAAGAAGGCCUUCGGGUUGUAAAGCACUUUUGUCCGGAAAGAAAUCCUUGGCUCUAAUACAGUCGGGGGAUGACGGUACCGGAAGAAUAAGCACCGGCUAACUACGUGCCAGCAGCCGCGGUAAUACGUAGGGUGCAAGCGUUAAUCGGAAUUACUGGGCGUAAAGCGUGCGCAGGCGGUUUGCUAAGACCGAUGUGAAAUCCCCGGGCUCAACCUGGGAACUGCAUUGGUGACUGGCAGGCUAGAGUAUGGCAGAGGGGGGUAGAAUUCCACGUGUAGCAGUGAAAUGCGUAGAGAUGUGGAGGAAUACCGAUGGCGAAGGCAGCCCCCUGGGCCAAUACUGACGCUCAUGCACGAAAGCGUGGGGAGCAAAACAGGAUUAGAUACCCUGGUAGUCCAGCGCCCUAAAACGAUGUCAACUAGUUGUUGGGGAUUCAUUUCCUUAGUAACGUAGCUAACGCGUGAAGUUGACCGCCUGGGGAGUACGGUCGC
rnacentral:rRNA from 1 species